GUCAGCGACUUAUAUUCUGUAGCAAGGUUAACCGUAUAGGGGAGCCGAAGGGAAACCGAGUCUUAACUGGGCGUUAAGUUGCAGGGUAUAGACCCGAAACCCGGUGAUCUAGCCAUGGGCAGGUUGAAGGUUGGGUAACACUAACUGGAGGACCGAACCGACUAAUGUUGAAAAAUUAGCGGAUGACUUGUGGCUGGGGGUGAAAGGCCAAUCAAACCGGGAGAUAGCUGGUUCUCCCCGAAAGCUAUUUAGGUAGCGCCUCGUGAACUCAUCUUCGGGGGUAGAGCACUGUUUCGGCUAGGGGGUCAUCCCGACUUACCAACCCGAUGCAAACUGCGAAUACCGAAGAAUGUUAUCACGGGAGACACACGGCGGGUGCUAACGUCCGUCGUGAAGAGGGAAACAACCCAGACCGCCAGCUAAGGUCCCAAAGUCACAGUUAAGUGGGAAACGAUGUGGGAAGGCUCAGACAGCCAGGAUGUUGGCUUAGAAGCAGCCAUCAUUUAAAGAAAGCGUAAUAGCUCACUGGUCGAGUCGGCCUGCGCGGAAGAUGUAACGGGGCUAAACUGUGCACCGAAGCUGCGGCAGCGACGCUUAUGCGUUGUUGGGUAGGGGAGCGUUCUGUAAGCCUGCGAAGGUGUCCUGUGAGGGAUGCUGGAGGUAUCAGAAGUGCGAAUGCUGACAUAAGUAACGAUAAUGCGGGUGAAAAGCCCGCUCGCCGGAAGACCAAGGGUUCCUGUCCAACGUUAAUCGGGGCAGGGUGAGUCGACCCCUAAGGCGAGGCCGAAAGGCGUAGUCGAUGGGAAACGGGUUAAUAUUCCCGUACUUGGUGUUACUGCGAAGGGGGGACGGAGAAGGCUAUGUUGGCCGGGCGACGGUUGUCCCGGUUUAAGCGUGUAGGCUGGUUUUCCAGGCAAAUCCGGAAAAUCAAG
rnacentral:rRNA from 1 species